rnacentral:ncRNA from 11 species
CUAUAGAUUAGCUUCAAACUAUACUUUUAGUUGUAAGAAUACAACUAAUUCUUCGUACUGUAAAACUCUUAAUAAAGUUUCAGACUUAAAGGCAAAAAAUCGCCUUUUAAGCGUGAGACCUAAAACUUUCGUUAGAAACUAUUCCCAUUUAAUCCAAAAAAGGGUUAGUUUACACCCUUGAUUUAUAACAGGUUUCACAGAUGGGGAGGGUUGUUUUUGAAUAGGUGUUAGACGAGACCCUAGAAAUAAACUAGGCUGAUGUGUACAAGCUUUUUUUCAAAUAGCCCUACAUAAAAAAGAUGAAGCUCUAUUAAAAGCAAUCCAAAAGUACUUUGGAGGUAUUGGGGCGGUAAAAAUUAGAGGUGAUAAAUGUACUUUCAUAGUAAGCUCUUUAUCACAGAUUACAAAAGUAAUUAUCCCACACUUCGAUUCUUACCCUUUAAUUACUAAUAAAUUAGCUGAUUAUUUUUUAUGAAAAGGUAUAAUUGAAAUAAUGAAGGCUAAAAAACAUUUAACUCUAGAAGGAUUAAAUGAAAUAGUACGAAUGAAAGCUCAAUUAAAUUUAGGACUUUCUGAUGAAUUAAAAACCGCUUUUGCAGAAACUUUUUCCACUUCAGCGAUAAUAAAAAGAAUACUAAACAAGGAAUCUAUACCUCAUGGGAUGUGAAUGGCAGGGUUUACAUCUGGAGAAGGUUCUUUCUUCGUCAAUAUCUUUAAAUCCUCGCAUCACAAAGUAGGGUACCAAAUAAGAUUAGAAUUUGAAAUUGCUCAACAUAUUCGCGAUGAACUUUUAAUGCUAAGUUUUACUGAAUUUUUCGGCUGUGGUAUCAUUAGCAGAUAUUCAAGCGAUAUGGUAAAGUUUAGAUGUACUAAAUUUUCAGAUAUAUCUACAAUAAUUGUCCCCUUUUUUAAAGAAUACUUACCAGAAGGUAACAAAAUUAAAGAUUUUCAGGAUUUCUGCAAAGUAUGUGAAUUAAUGGAAAAUAAUGCUCAUUUAACUGAAGAAGGGCUUAAUCAAAUUCGUGAAAUAAAAGCUAGAAUGAACAGCUUUCGUAAGUAGAAAUCUUUUAUUUUUUUUUUACUUUGUGUGUGCUUGUGAUAAAUGUCUAAGACAUAGUAUCGAAUAACUUAGUGGAGAGAUGUAUAAUAUAGGUGAUUGAAGGUUGUAUUACAACAUAUAAAGUGCUCACAUUAAAAAUCUUGAUCUAAAGGGUUAAUAAAAUUAUCCCUAGUCUUAAAUAAAGGCGAAACCUUCAAAUUGCGGGAAGUACCUGAUAAAAUACUGAUUUCGACCAAACCUGCAUGGUAACAUAGCAGGUGGCACAGGUAAUGACUCGUGGUAUGGUAAAACCGAAACAGAUAAUCAGUUAAGCUAUAAUAGUUGACUGUGUAGGGUUAAUCUGCAGCCAACCACCGUAACAUACGAUUUACUAACCAAGCGUAGAUAAAUAGUGACGCUGUAAUCUGAUAAAGAGCAGAUAACACGUUGUUUUUAAUUCUACCUUUACGGGUUUUUACUUUUUAGAGCAAAGAGCGAAGCGCGAAGCUACUCAUGCCUAUUUUAGUAAAAACUAAAAGCCUAGGACCUAAGGACCUAGUCCUAGAUCGAAGAGGUAGAAUAAAUUCUUAUGAAGGUGGGCAGUUCAUCGACUAAAUGUAGGUUGGUGAAAAAUAUUAUUUUCUCUUCUCAUUGUUUUCUUAAUAUAUUAUCUUUACACACGAUUAUUAAAGUCUAUUUGUGCGAAGUUCAUAAUAAUAAGAAAAACAGCUACCUUCGCGCUUCGCAGGGUUAGAGGGAGGGGUGCGUAGCCCAAAAUUAUAUUUUUUGCUUAAGAUAUAGUCAAAUGUUGCUUAAUAUUCUCUCCCUUUUCCGUACCUUCGCUUCGCCCUAGGUACAUGGUUAGGGUUUUUAGUAAAAAAACUAAAAACCGAAAGGUGAAAAUAUAAAAUAGUUUAAUAAUAAUAUAAUAAUUUAACCGAAACCUAUUAUGAAGUGCAGGGCGCAAGCUCCCCUAAUAAAAUAAGGAUUCAAGCUGCUGAUAUAAUAGUAAGGUAUACAUUGUCAAAUUUUGUUAUGUAGCAAAAUAUUGGAUAGUUUAAAUUAUACUAGUUAUUAAAUCUAAUUUAUAAGAGAAAUAACCAACCUAGAAGAGG